GACGAACGCUGGCGGCGUGCUUAACACAUGCAAGUCGAACGGAAAGGCCCUGCUUUUGGGGGGUGCUCGAGUGGCGAACGGGUGAGUAACACGGGAGUAACCUGCCCUUGACAUUGGGAUAACUUCAGGAAACUGGGGCUAAUACCGGAUAGGAGCUCCUGCUGCAUGGUGGGGGUUGGAAAGUUUCGGCGGUUGGGGAUGGACUCGCGGCUUAUCAGCUUGUUGGUGGGGUAGUGGCUUACCAAGGCUUUGACGGGUAGCCGGCCGGAGAGGGUGACCGGCCACGUUGGGACUGAGAUACGGCCCAGACUACUACGGGAGGCAGCAGUGGGGAAUAUUGCACAAUGGGAGGAAGCCUGAUGCAGCAACGCGGCGUGCGGGAUGACGGCCUUCGGGUUGUAAACCACUUUCGCCUGUGACGAAGCGUGAGUGACGGUAAUGGGUAAAGAAGCACCGGCUAACUACGUG
rnacentral:rRNA from 1 species